UACAGAGCGUGCAAGCGUUGUUCGGAAUUAUUGGGCGUAAAGCGCGUGUAGGCGGCAUGGCAAGUCGGGUGUGAAAGCCCUCAGCUCAACUGAGGAAGUGCGCCCGAAACUGCUUUGCUUGAGUGCUGGAGAGGGUCGCGGAAUUCCCCAAGUAGAGGUGAAAUUCGUAGAUAUGGGGAGGAACACCGGUGGCGAAGGCGGCGACCUGGACGAGUAACUGACGCUGAGACGCGAAAGCGUGGGUAGCAAACAGG
rnacentral:rRNA from 1 species